CAGUCGCCGCGGUAAUACGAAGGGUGCAAGCGUUACUCGGAAUUACUGGGCGUAAAGCGUGCGUAGGUGGUGGUUUAAGUCCGUUGUGAAAGCCCUGGGCUCAACCUGGGAAUUGCAGUGGAUACUGGGUCACUAGAGUGUGGUAGAGGAUAGUGGAAUUUCCGGUGUAGCAGUGUAAUGCGUAGAGAUCGGAAGGAACAUCUGUGGCGAAGGCGACUAUCUGGGCCAACACUGACACUGAGGCACGAAAGCGUGGGGAGCAAACAGGAUUAGAUACCCCUGUAGUCCCUGUCUCUUAUAC
rnacentral:rRNA from 1 species